AGUGAACGCUGGCGGUAGGCCUAACACAUGCAAGUCGAACGGCAGCACAGUAAGAGCUUGCUCUUACGGGUGGCGAGUGGCGGACGGGUGAGGAAUACAUCGGAAUCUACUUUUUCGUGGGGGAUAACGUAGGGAAACUUACGCUAAUACCGCAUACGACCUACGGGUGAAAGCAGGGGAUCUUCGGACCUUGCGCGAUUGAAUGAGCCGAUGUCGGAUUAGCUAGUUGGCGGGGUAAAGGCCCACCAAGGCGACGAUCCGUAGCUGGUCUGAGAGGAUGAUCAGCCACACUGGAACUUGGACACGGUCCAGACUCCUACGGGAGGCAGCAGUGGGGAGUAUUGGACAAUGGGCGCAAGCCUGAUCCAGCCAUACCGCGUGGGUGAAGAAGGCCUUCGGGUUGUAAAGCCCUUUUGUUGGGAAAGAAAAGCAGCAGGUUAAUACCCCGCUGUUCUGACGGUACCCAAAGAAUAAGCACCGGCUAACUUCGUG
rnacentral:rRNA from 1 species